rnacentral:rRNA from 1 species
UGACCUCUGACCUCAAAUCAGGUAGGACUA